rnacentral:miRNA from 8 species
GCGGUCCAACCUAUUGGUCAAU